rnacentral:snRNA from 1 species
GUGCUCACUUCAGCAGCACAUAUACUAAAACUGGAACAAGACAGAGAUUAGCAUGGCCCUGUGCAAGGAUGACAUGCAAAUUUGUGAAUUGUUCUAUACUUUU